rnacentral:rRNA from 1 species
GACGAACGCUGGCGGCGUGCUUAACACAUGCAAGUCGAGCGGCGCGGCGAACGGGUGAGUAACGCGUGAGUAACUGCCCCCCUCUCUGGGAUAACAGUUGGAAACGGCUGCUAAUACCGGAUAGUGGGGGAUGACUCGCGUCCUAUCAGCUUGAUGGUGGGGUAGUGGCCUACCAAGGCGACGACGGGUAGCCAGCCUGGGAGGGCGACCAGCCACAGUAGGCUGAGGUACGCCGCAAACUCCUACGGGAGGCAGCGGUGGGGAAAAUUGCGCAAUGGGGGAAACCCUAAUGCAGCAACGCCGCGUGCGGGAGGUCGGCCUUCGGGGGGUAAUCCGCUUUCGGCCAAGACGCGGUAGUGGCAGAAGAAGCACCGGCUAACUACGUGCCAGCAGCCGCGGUAAUUC